rnacentral:rRNA from 1 species
GACGAACGCUGGCGGCGUGCCUAAUACAUGCAAGUAGAACGCUGAAGGAGGAGCUUGCUUCUCUGGAUGAGUUGCGAACGGGUGAGUAACGCGUAGGUAACCUGCCUGGUAGCGGGGGAUAACUAUUGGAAACGAUAGCUAAUACCGCAUAAGAGUAGAUGUUGCAUGACAUUUGCUUAAAAGGUGCAAUUGCAUCACUACCAGAUGGACCUGCGUUGUAUUAGCUAGUUGGUGGGGUAACGGCUUACCAAGGCGACGAUACAUAGCCGACCUGAGAGGGUGAUCGGCCACACUGGGACUGAGACACGGCCCAGACUCCUACGGGAGGCAGCAGUAGGGAAUCUUCGGCAAUGGACGGAAGUCUGACCGAGCAACGCCGUGUGAGUGAAGAAGGUUUUCGGAUCGUAAAGCUCUGUUGUAAGAGAAGAACGAGUGUGAGAGUGGAAAGUUCACACUGUGACGGUAUCUGACCAGAAAGGGACGGCUAACUACGUG